UACGUAUGGGGCGAGCGUUGUCCGGAAUUAUUGGGCGUAAAGGGAGCGCAGGCGGUUCCUUAAGUCUGAUGUGAAAGCCCCCGGCUCAACCGGGGAAGGUCAUUGGAAACUGGGGAACUUGAGUGCAGAAGAGGAGAGUGGAAUUCCAUGUGUAGCGGUGAAAUGCGUAGAUAUAUGGAGGAACACCAGUGGCGAAGGCGACUCUCUGGUCUGUAACUGACGCUGAGGCUCGAAAGCGUGGGGAGCAAACAGG
rnacentral:rRNA from 1 species